rnacentral:rRNA from 1 species
UCCAAAGAGUCGUGUUGCUUGAUAGUGCAGCACUAAGUGGGUGGUAAACUCCAUCUAAAACUAAAUAUAACCAUGAGACCGAUAGUAAACAAGUACCGUGAGGGAAAGUUGAAAAGAACUCUGAAUAGAGAGUUAAAUAGUACGUGAAACUGCUUAGAGGUUAAGCCCGAUGAACCUGAAUAUCCAUUAUGGGAAAUUCAUCAUUAUAAUUAUAAUAUUUAAUAAAUAUUAUUAAUAAUAGUGUGCAUUUUUCCCAUAUAAGGACAUUGUAAUCUAUUAGCAUAUACAAAAAUUUAUCAUAAAAUAUGGCUUAUAGUUUAUUCAAAUUAUUAUGGCUUGCCCAUUGAUAACAUAGAAUAAAUGUCAUUAAAUUUGAUAAAGUGCUGAUAGAUUGAUAUGAAAUACAGUGUGUUAAUUUUUCGAAAUUAUAUAAUGAUAUUUAUAUCUAUGAUAUUUAUAUUUAUUAUAGGCA